UCCUGGCUCAGAUUGAACGCUGGCGGCAUGCCUUACACAUGCAAGUCGAACGGCAGCACGGGAGCAAUCCUGGUGGCGAGUGGCGAACGGGUGAGUAAUAUAUCGGAACGUGCCCAGUCGUGGGGGAUAACGUAGCGAAAGCUACGCUAAUACCGCAUACGAUCUAUGGAUGAAAGCGGGGGAUCGCAAGACCUCGCGCGAUUGGAGCGGCCGAUGUCAGAUUAGCUAGUUGGUGGGGUAAAGGCCCACCAAGGCGACGAUCUGUAGCUGGUCUGAGAGGACGACCAGCCACACUGGGACUGAGACACGGCCCAGACUCCUACGGGAGGCAGCAGUGGGGAAUUUUGGACAAUGGGCGCAAGCCUGAUCCAGCAAUGCCGCGUGCAGGAAGAAGGCCUUCGGGUUGUAAACUGCUUUUGUACGGAACGAAAAGGUCUGGGUUAAUACCCUGGGCUCAUGACGGUACCGUAAGAAUAAGCACCGGCUAACUACGUG
rnacentral:rRNA from 1 species